rnacentral:rRNA from 1 species
AUGAAGCUGGAAUCGCUAGUAAUCGCGGAUCAGAAUGCCGCGGUGAAUACGUUCCCGGGUCUUGUACACACCGCCCGUCACACCAUGGGAGUCGGAAAUGCCCGAAGUCUGUGACCCAACCUUAGGGAGGGAGCAGCCGAAGGCAGGUCGGAUGACUGGGUGAAGUCGUAACAAGGUAGC